rnacentral:rRNA from 1 species
CCUACGGGGGGCAGCAGUGAGGAAUAUUGGUCAAUGGACGCAAGUCUGAACCAGCCAUGCCGCGUGCAGGAAGACGGCUCUAUGAGUUGUAAACUGCUUUUGUACGAGGGUAAACUCAGAUACGUGUAUCUGUCUGAACGUAUCUUACGAAUAAGGAUCGGCUAACUCCGUGCCAGCAGCCGCGGUAAUACGGAGGAUUCAAGCGUUAUCCGGAUUUAUUGGGUUUAAAGGGUGCGUAGGCGGUCGGAUAAGUUAGAGGUGAAAUUCCGAGGCUCAACUUCGGAAUUGCCUGUGAUACUGUUAGGCGAGAGAGUAGUGGCGGUAGGCGGAAUGUAUGGUGUAGCGGUGAAAUGCUUAGAGAUCAUAAAGAACACCGAUUGCGAAGGCAGCUUACCAAGCUACGUCUGACGUUGAGGCACGAAAGUGUGGGGAGCAAACAGGAUUAGAUACCCGUGUAGUC